AUACGGAGGGUGCAAGCGUUGUUCGGAAUUACUGGGCGUAAGGCGCGCGUAGGUGGUCUGUUAUGUCAGAUGUGAAAGUCCACGGCUCAACCGUGGAAGUGCAUUUGAAACUGGCAGACUUGAGUACUGGAGGGGGUAGUGGAAUUCCCGGUGUAGAGGUGAAAUUCGUAGAUAUCGGGAGGAAUACCGGUGGCGAAGGCGACUACCUGGCCAGAUACUGACACUGAGGUGCGAAAGCGUGGGGAGCGAACAGGAUUAGAAACCCCAGUAGUCC
rnacentral:rRNA from 1 species